rnacentral:misc_RNA from 1 species
UGCAAGGUGGAUGUUUUUGUACAGUUGUGUUUUUUACUCCGUCAUUCGGUCGUUUCGCUCCGCUCCGAAUUGUCCGCGAUCGUUUGUACGCGAACAAGUGACAUCGUAUGUGCGGAAAAUCGAAAAUGCCGUCGAAAAUUGAAAGUGCCGUCAUCGAUCAUCGUAUUAUUUCUGCGAUUUUGCAUUGCUGUUUUCGUUUUCGUUGCUCCGUGCAACCAUAGUUUUGUUGCGUUCAUGGUUUUGCCAUCCGAUGAAACAUCAGUACUGUAAGCAAGUGCUACAAUUUGGUUUCAGUAAUUUAUAAAAUAUUACUGCGGCAGAUUCCAGUAAUUAAACUUGGUAGCACUCGUUAAUGUUUAACGGUCGAGAUGCAACGUAUCGCAAAUUAAACGCAUUCAAGUGCUAUCGUGAGCAGCAAAGACUCGUGAUUUCGAACGUAAUGAGAAUGUAAGGAGCCGCGUUUCCAAGAAGACGGCCGGCUGCUCAUUUCCCGCGCGCGUGUUUUCGCUCCUUCGGUGCGCGCCGGGUGUAUGUCUCGCUUCGGUCGCCGCGAGUGCCGGGACGAAGCCGAUGAUUUAGAGAAUCUCGCGUGUGAGUGACGCGGUGACGCGCGGACAAUGCGCGGAAUUUCGGUUUUGAAUUUUGCGCGACGAUCGUGACAGCGCGUCACGCGCCGAGGCCGUUGCUGGAUGUAGUGCCGCGGGUUGCAAUGACGUUUGGCUUUGACCGAGUGGUCGUUAGAGUGGUCGGUAUCUCUAUCACCUCCCCGGGAUUGGGAUCUGAUUUAUGUUGCGCCAGGCGCCACCGCCGAAUUUCUCCGUCGCCGACCUGGAUUCGUCGCUGGUGAUGCUUCAAAUGUUUUUGCAACGAUGCGGUUUGACGGAUCCCGACUGUUGCAAAUCAUUGACGAAGGAUGAUCAACGAUUGAUUGACGAUCGAUUUCUCUUCAACGCGAACCAAUGGUACACUGAUCGAUGUCGAGCAAUCUUUGAGACGAGCGGGCGCCGUUGGUAAAGUGAUCAGGUGCUUCGAAUCGCGGCAACUUCGGGAGGACGCCGAAAGAAUGAAACUGAUUGCUACCACACGGAAGGACGUACAUCUAGUUAAUGGCGACACUUUACAGUCAGAUAGCGAUCGUAAAAUGUUGAAUCCAGAAACCGGCUGUUAUUCUGAAUCUAUACGAGCAUGGU